AAUUAGGUUUUCUAGGGUUCCGUAUUUUCAUAAAUAGUCUGGUCCGAGAGAAAACCCAUGUAAUACGACAUUACAUGACACGGAAGGACAAAAGCCUGGGAGAU
rnacentral:sRNA from 1 species